UACAGAGGGUGCAAACGUUGUUCGGAAUUACUGGGCGUAAAGGGCGCGUAGGCGGCACUGUUAGUCAGGCGUGAAAUUCCUGGGCUCAACCUGGGGACUGCGCUUGAUACGGCAGAGCUAGAGGAUGGAAGAGGCUCGCGGAAUUCCCAGUGUAGAGGUGAAAUUCGUAGAUAUUGGGAAGAACACCGGUGGCGAAGGCGGCGAGCUGGUCCAUUACUGACGCUGAGGCGCGACAGCGUGGGGAGCAAACAGG
rnacentral:rRNA from 1 species